rnacentral:rRNA from 1 species
CACGUAGGGGCCAAGCGUUGUCCGGAUUUAUUGGGCGUAAAGAGCUCGUAGGCGGUUCGACAAGUCGGGUGUGAAAACUCCGGCUCAACCCGGAGACGCCACCCGAUACUGUCGUGACUGGAGUCCGGUAGGGGAGUGGGGAAUUCCUGGUGUAGCGGUGAAAUGCGCAGAUAUCAGGAGGAACACCGGUGGCGAAGGCGCCACUCUGGGCCGGUACUGACGCUGAGGAGCGAAAGCGUGGGUAGCAAACAGG